UUCUUGCUUAAGACUGUCCAAAUUUUUCAGAGUAAAUAGGACCAAUUUCGAAUCUAAAAGUGAAGGAGAAGAAAAUCUUUCAAGUCUUCAAGUUCCUUCGAACGAUUGGGCUCGAGACGAGUAUUUCUCCUUUGUUCUCAAAGAGAACAUACGACUAAUACCAAUUUCGAGUCAAAUCGAAAUCGCCCGAGGUUUAUCAAGCCCUGUCGGUAUGGCCAUCGAGGUAUUUUCUUUGUUUUGUCUCCUUUGUCUCCCUCGUCUGUUUCGUUCUUAAACCUGGAUUAUUCUGUUUCUUCUCUUCUCAUUCCUUUUAAUGUUCGUGGUAAUGAAUUUGAGUCCUCUUCCUCUUUAAUUUAAGUUUGUUAUUUGAAGUUCAAUGAAAUAGGAAUUAGCGUAUCAAUGUCAUGGUUUAACUUGAUUAGUUAAUCAAUUUAAUUACUUUAAAUGACUGUUUUCGAGCUUCUUUAGUGAAAUCUUUUUCUAUUGAAAAUUCAAAAGUUGGUUUGUUCGAAAGAUUCUUACUAAAUUCAGAAUUUGAAAACUCAAUUUAGAAUGCUAGUAUAUAGACUUAUGGUUUGCACUGGGUCUUGGGUUAAUUCAACACUGGGUCAACUUUGACCCAUAUCUAUUAUGGUUUCCGAAGGUAAAUAAUAGUUGUUUAAGGGGUAGUUUAGGGAAAUUAGGCAGGGGAAUCUUUUAUAACUGCAUUAGGAAGCUUCUAGGUUAGUGGGGAAGGGAUUGGCUUGCAAAACUGAUUUUUAUUGGGGUUUGAACUGAAUGAAGGAAAUUUGGGGAAGGGGUAAAUAGCAAUUAAUAAACUCUUUGCUCUGCCCUAACCCAUCUCUAUAAAAGCCCCAUUUCCUGAAAAUUUUAAGGGGAUGAGAUUGUAUCAAAUAAAAAACGACUGAAAAAUACCGAACGAGUUUGAAUAAUUAGAAAAAUACAAAGACAAAUCAUAGAAUUACUGUUAAAUUGAAGUUUUUCUGCAAUUCUAAUGGUUCUCAAGUUUGAAAGUAAUCUUUGAUUCAUUUUGGGCUCGAUUUAGUGUAAUGAAGUUGGAUUUGAUAUUGUUGAACUGCUGAAGUGCACCUGCUUCUGAUGUUGAUCUUGUCACCCCUUUCUUUUGCUCUAAAUUGCAUCAGGUAUUCUCCUGAAACUAUGGUGGAAAUGAAGCCUGAUUAAGUUUUGUAAAUAGAUCUGCGAAUCGAGCUAAAGUUUAAAUGAAAAACACUAGUUCAUGUUGUAAUUACUGCUCGAUUUUGCCAUUUUUCAUGCUUUUAGUCUAGUUUAUUUUAGAUAUUUCAUUCCUGAAUGUACAUUUAAUUUAAGUGUUGGGUGGACUUUGUUUGAAUAUAGGUGAUUCAGGAAUGUUUUAAAUCUAGUAUAAUCUGUGUUAAUUGAAGAUUAUGAUUCCAAAUUUAAUUAGUUAAGGCUGGAUGGUUUCGAUGUAUGUUUCAUGGCUAUGGUUUGAAUUACAAGUUUAGACCCUUCAUGUUGUUGUUCUAGCAAG
rnacentral:lncRNA from 1 species